rnacentral:rRNA from 1 species
UCCGUUGGUGAACGCGGAGGGAUCAUUA